rnacentral:rRNA from 1 species
CCUACGGGUGGCUGCAGUGGGGAAUUUUGCGCAAUGGGCGAAAGCCUGACGCAGCGACGCCGCGUGUGCGAUGAAGGCCUUUGGGUCGUAAAGCACUGUCGAUCGGGACGAAAACUUAUUUAUUAAUACCAAAUAAGUCUGACGGUACCGAUAAAGGAAGCACCGGCUAACUCUGUGCCAGCAGCCGCGGUAAUACAGAGGGUGCAAACGUUGCUCGGAAUUAUUGGGCGUAAAGCGCGUGUAGGCGGCUUGUUAUGUCGGUCGUGAAAGCCCAC